ensembl:lncRNA
AAAGCUGUAUAUUCUAGUUGUAGGUCUUUCUAGUUGUGUUAUGUGGGAUGCUGCCUCAACACGACUUGAUGAGCAGUGCCAUGUCUGCACCCAGGAACGAACCAGCGAAACCCUGGGCCGCCGAAGCAAAGCCCGCAAACUUAAUCACUCAUCCAGGGGGCUGGCGCCACAUUUGUGCAUUGUUAACCAAGAAUCUGAUUUAACCAUUCACCGUUGGUGUGAUACAUUCCAAGGUUACUCCUUCAAGGCAACUGCAACAUCCCAAAGGACCUGAUAAUGACCUCCUUAAAAUACAACCAUCAAAGAAGAUAGUGCGCCUAUUUCCCAGCUUCUGUGGGCAGAACCUCCUCUCAAUUGUCAGUAAAUGAAUCCUCCAUUUUCACAUGGUUCAAAAAUUGUGUGGGGAAUUGAGGAAAUGGAAAAAGACAGGGCAGAGGAGAGAGAAGACGAAAAAGCCAAAAACAGCUGGAAGCUGGCUGGGUCAAGAAAAGGAAUUUAAAGAACAGAAUUACCUUUCAUGAAAUUUUUAGUUAUUGGUUGAGCAGCACACAACGUGACCCUUCUCAAACACCCCUGUAUUUUGAGUAGUGUCUGUUAGAGACAAAUGUGCUUCAGGAGUUGACAGCUGACACAUGAUGCAAGUUGGACUAAUCAGAGGGAAGCAGAGAAUUUGUUGAUGAUUAUGGGAAGAAAGGUGAACGAGGAAGCAGGUAGCCCAGGCGACUGUUGGGACCCAUCCUAAAACUCUGAUGAGAGCCACCAUACUGAAAGUUAGAGCUGGAAAUCUGGACAGACAAGUCCUGCUGGCAUUUUAAGCCUCUGAGCAGCCCGUCACCUAAGCCCUCUCGUACAUGAGCAGAAAAAUGUCCCUUUGUGAUUUAAGUCAGCUUGAGCUGAGUUUUCUCUUGUUUGCAAUUGAAAGUAUCCUAAUUUAUACAAGGACCUUAAUACAUACCAACUGGUUAACGUCUGGUUCCAAAGAGUUCACCCAUCCACUCAAAGGGCAGAUAACGUUUCCUUUCUAGAGUCUUUUGAAGCAAGACACACCCUCAACAUAGCAGAUCCUACAAAAACAUAAUUGAAUUGUGUUGCCCUUUGACAACUUUAGUAGAAUUCUGAAAGAUAAAGAAACAUCAUUCAACUAGGGAUUUCUGCGAGGCAUUCAUAAGAACAGGAGUGUUACAGCUGCUUCGGAGAAGCCGCAGUGGUCUUGGCUUGAGGCUACAACAUGACAGAUGUGUGUUGGCUGCCUAUCACCUAAGAUCUCAUUGACAGCUAGUGGUGGCCUCCAAUGCCUCUGACUUCCCUCCUGCAUUCAUAUGAAUUAAUGAAGUGUCAGGCCCAAAAUGUAAAUACUGAAGUUUUGAAACCCAGAUUUAAGUCACCAGAGAGGCUGCUCCUUUAUCAUCUUCACGGGAGUUCACUGGCAAAUGACAGCAUUUUUGUGGCAACAGAAGUAAACUCCUUUAUAACACAAGCCAGCUUACUUCUCGUGAUGGCUAGGACCUCUCACCAAAUUCACCCAUGACGAUUGCUUUGCCUACUGGAUUCUGAAAGUGCCCAAUAUUUGAGUCCUACAGCCUUACCCUGUGUGUUAUACAUAGAA